rnacentral:rRNA from 1 species
AUUGAACGCUGGCGGCAUGCCUUACACAUGCGAGUCGAACGGUAACGGGCCUUCGGGUGCCGACGAGUGGCGAACGGGUGAGUAAUACAUCGGAACGUGCCCGAUCGUGGGGGAUAACGAGGCGAAAGCUUUGCUAAUACCGCAUACGAUCUACGGAUGAAAGCAGGGGACCGCAAGGCCUUGCGCGGACGGAGCGGCCGAUGGCAGAUUAGGUAGUUGGUGGGAUAAAAGCUUACCAAGCCGACGAUCUGUAGCUGGUCUGAGAGGAUGAUCAGCCACACUGGGACUGAGACACGGCCCAGACUCCUACGGGAGGCAGCAGUGGGGAAUUUUGGACAAUGGGCGCAAGCCUGACCCAGCCAUGCCGCGUGCAGGAUGAAGGCCUUCGGGUUGUAAACUGCUUUUGUACGGAACGAAAAGCCUUCUUUUAAUACAGGAGGGUCAUGACGGUACCGUAAGAAUAAGCACCGGCUAACUACGUG